UGCUUUCUCAUUGAUCCAAAAACCAAACAAAAACUAAACAAUAAAGAUACAGGUCAAAAAACAACAAAACACGACCAAAAAAACCUCCCAAAAUGAAACAAUAAUUGAAAACAAAAAUAAUAGAAAGAUUACGCAAAAACCAAACUGGGACGAAUCUAGAAGCAAUAAGGCACCGUCCCUUACACCAAAUCAAAUGCGUUGCUUUUUCUCCAUCCCAACAAGUCUUCAAUGUUCACAAUUGAUGGUUUCACAAAAAAGGAAAGAGCAUCCAAUAGAUAAACCAAACGUCUAGAAAAAAAAAAAUCCUUACCCCUAUUCAAUUUCCUUCCCCUCCCCUUUCAAUCUGGUUCUCUUGUCCUCCCCCUCACCCUCUUGGUAUCAACAGUCGAAGAAGCAUUCCCCUCCAGAUAAAGAUCGAGUGGAAAAUCGAGGAGAAUAGAAAAUUACCAAAAAGCCUAUAUACUUUGACAUUUCUGCAAUUUAACCAGAUUAUCAAAAGCUCUGUUAGGUUGGAAGCUUAUCGGAGAUCUAUCACACUAUCCAACAAUUAUAUUGGUAGAUUUUGAUAUCUUGAUCAAGGUUAUAAUGGCAUGUUAUAGGUGAAUUGUGUUUGAUGAGAUGUUGUUAUGUUUGGCUUGUAAAUGUAGUAUUAUGGUUGAUGAACUAUUGGCAAAGUGAUCCUUUAAUGGUUAGUGUUGAAAUGGUCAAAUGAAUGUAUGUUGUAAAUGACCAAUUUGGUAUGUUUGAAUGUAAUUUGACCUGUGGUCAUUGUGGCAAGUUUGGUAUGGUAAUAGGAUAAAAAUGCACAAGUGAUGAAUGACUAAAUUAUGCAUAUGUUUAAGUA